UUUGUAGCCCGCCUUGCUCCCUGCUAUGUUCAAUAUAUGCCAGCCAGCUUCUUGAUCUUUAAAAAAACACAUAAAAGAACAGACUCACACGUAAAAGCAAGCGCGGCACCGCCCUAGUGUCCUCUCUAUUGCGGCCUCCGCCUGGAUCUGACUGGAUCCUCAGCCCACUGCCGCUUCGAUCCGGAAGCGAAUUCCUCUCGUUUCUUCUGCCUUGCGUCGGCCAGAAAGGUGCAUGACACUACUAGACAAGACUGGGAAACAAAAACUGCUUUGAGAUUAGGAAAGGCACGUGGCGUCCUCUCUUCCAGUUCCAUAGAGGAUGAAGAGAUAGAGCCGGUCGGUCCGUUGGGGAUCGAUACGCAACGCACUCAGGAUGUAAAAGCGCUCCGCCGCCCAAGUCCCUUCUGUACUGCAGCCUCCGCCUGGCUGUGGCUUGGAUCCUCAGUCCGCUGCCGCCGCCUCGACCCGGAAGCGAAUCUCUUCUUUGUCGGUCCGUUUGCUCUCCGUCAGGUCCGGUUGCUCUCCACAAGCAAUCCUUAUCUUCUCACGUCACGGCAAUAGCCGGCGGCAAUGGGAGGUGACACCUUUGAAGUGCCAACCUAUUGGAGAUCGGUUAACAUCAAUUGAUACUCUUAUAUACUGAGCAAUAUCUUGGGUCAUGUGUCUCAUGCCCGCCCCCGCUUGCAAAGACGGAGCUAUGGCCGAUGUUCCAACUCCAAAUGUAGUUGCGCAUAUGAUUACAUUGACCACCUUGACCGCAAGCAACAGCUAGUAAUUUGCGCAAGUGCCCUUGGCUAUAUGUUUGCAAUGAGCGUUUUCUGCUUGACUGUGUUGUACACUCCAGUCACGAAUACCACAGCCAACGUGGCCCAAGGACCCGGGGACAUCUUCGUCCGACUUGUAGGCCAAAGAGGGGUCGAUCCCCGCGCCUCUCUGCCGACUUCACCGGCUUUCAACCUUGCCUUGGACUUUUAUCGGACACAACCAACCUACCGGCGCUGCAGCGGAGGCGGCAACUCAUUGCUGCGCGUCUCAGGUGCCGUAUUUUUGCGUCUAUGGCGACCGGAGCAUUGGCAGUGUUGGUACCUUGGAGGUGGAGGCCAAGGCAAACGCCUGCAUGCUGCGACAGGAGGUGCGCAACUUGCUUCGGAGCGAGAUUCAGGUCGUGGGCAAGGUUGAGUUCGCCGUGGAUGGAGAGGUGGCGGGCCUAGGGUAUCUUCACUGCAAGUUUUUCAUCAUGAAGGAUCAGGCUGUGGAUGUGUCCAAGAGCCUGUGCAUCUUCGGUCAAUAGGGUGGACCUAUGUGUUCUAAUAAGGGUGUUAUAUAUUCUCAUUUCGGUCACUGGGCUGCAUUUACUUUUGUAAUAGCUGCUAUAUUCUGCUUUGAAAUAAAACAAACAAUUUCAGCUGCA